rnacentral:lncRNA from 13 species
GUCACAGCAAGACUCAAAGCUCCUAACCAGCUGAUUUAACUUGAGGAAAUUAGACAAGCCUGACCUACUCAGGUGAUUCCUUAAAAGAGAGAGCGAGAGACUGAAAUAGCAAACAACCAUGUUGUGUGAACUGUCUACAUAGAGAACCUUGUGGCAAAGGAACUCCAGGUGGCCUAUAGAAGUUAAGGACCUCAGUCCUACAACCCCAGGGAAUAAAUCUUGCUGACAACCUGAAUGAGCUUGGAAGUGGAUUAGUCCCUAGGAAAGCCUCCAGAUGAUAAUGCAGCCCAGCUGGCAGCUUCAUUACAGCUCUCGAGAUCCUGAGCAGCAGAAGCAGAUGAAGGAACUGAGACUAUGAAGGACCAUUACUUCCCCAAAGUUCACAACUCAUAAUAGAACUACCAGGGAAAUGGCCAGGAACUACAUAACCUGCAUCUCCUGCCCUCUCCUUUACUCCAUCAGAUCUGUAACAAAGAGGCUGGUCCUGGGAGAGAUCAUCUGGUUCAACAGAAACCAAGCAGAGAUGAUGACUCCAAGACUGUGAAAGUCAAAUGGAAAUAGGCCUGUGAUCCACUCAACAUUUGCUAUACUCCUUGUCCUUCACCCAGACUAAAUAAAAGGCCAGCUUUCUUUAUUUCA